CGCGGGACUGGUAUAUUCCCCCAACAUGCUUCGCGCACCCUUAAUGGUUCUCUCUAACUUUACUUGUAAAACAGUCGAGCAGACUUUUAAAUCAUGCCGGCACACAAAUCGUUCAAAAUCAAGGUCAAACUGGCCA